UCCGAAUAAUUUUCGAUUUGGACGGAUUCGGCCGUGCAAUCGCGCAUCGGCAUUAUUUUUGCAGCUAAAGCAACAAGCUAUACAAGGAUAAGUAAUGAAAGGUACUCAUUUCUUCAAGUACAAAACACACAACACGAUGGAGGAUCUUUCAAUUCAAAUCAGGUCAUUCGCUGCUGCGGUUGCAAACGGUGUGAAGCUGGGCCCGAACGGCUUCACUGCCAGCCAACCGGCAUCGUGGACAGGUGGUGACAGAAAUGCGAUAUAAUAAUGACAACCGAUCUUUUAAGAAAGGAUCAGUGGUGACUUCGCAGGGGAAACAUGGCCAUAUAAAAGUAUAGCUGCGCGCUUGCUUAAUCACUUUCCCCGUCUGGCAGCCGAUCCCUAUUCUUUUGAUCAUCCGACAGAGAGAUGACUCUGUACGACUAGCUCUGUCUUUCAGUAGUUGACUAAUACAACUUCAACUAUAGCGUACGAAAUUCAAUUCCAUUGGUAAACAUUUGAUUGAACCAUUGUUUGUACGUAUUAAACACAGAAAUUGAUUAGUCGAGAAGCAUUUCUCACGUAGUGGGAUUUGGUUAAAGUAUUUAGAAUGAGAAUAAGAAAAAUGCAUAAUGCAUGUAAUAGUUGGGAGCAUUAAUUUUUCGCAUAUUUAUUCGUGACAAGGUUAUCGAUUUGACAUAUUAUGCUUAAUAAUUUUAUUUACAAAACAGUCAUCUGAUACAUGCACUAAUAAAUUUGUCUUACCUCGAAAAUCAACUAUUUACAUUUAUUGAGUAAUGGAACAAAUUCUCAGUGCACAAGCACCCGAGAUGGAUUCUCAAACUGAGUUUAUAUGUAUCCGGACAAAAUCAAUAUUCUGAUAUUUUUCCCACAGUUAAAUAAUUCUAUAACGUCGUAUUGAAAUUUCUCAGUAAUCGAGUAAUGAAAGUGGUAAAUUUAUAUAACCAGCUUUUCAUCUUCUGGGCAAAGAGAUGUGUGAGAUGUUCAGGUUGAAUAACAUUACACUGAGUUUAUUUCUGUCUCAUGUCCACCUAUGAAUUUCCACAAUUCUCAUGUAAUUGGAUAACAGCAAUGCUAAUCGAGUUAGAAGUAGCAGCAAAUCUGUUUUCUUUUAAUAUUUUUGAAAACAGGAUUGAGUCAAGAAAAGUCUGACUCUUAAAGUUUGUCUGUUAUUAUUAUUCCACAUAUAUUCUGCCCUUCAUGGUAACAAUCUGUUAUAAAUUGACAAUGACUCAAUGAUUGGAUUUGUCAUGUGGAAGUUGAGAUUGCACAAGGUAGUCAUCGUCAUAAACUGUCAAUGAUGUUGCCACUGAUAUUUAGUUACUUGUGCUUUCAUCGAUAAACUAAACACACCGUCGAUAGUUAACUAACUGUGAAUUAAUACAUUAUACGUCACAAUAAACUACUUCUAAGAUUUCUAUCCGUAGUAAAUGUUACAGAUAAAGUAAAUAUAUGUACAUUUGGGUGUGUUGUUUUAAAUCCAAAUUUUUUUCUCAAACUAUGAUGAAAAACAGGUUUAGAAUGGGACAAUUAACAAAUUCUCCCAUAACUGGGUGCUGACAAUUAAUAUAUAUACGAUACUUAAUGUGUUUCAGAUGCCUCAGUCUGGU